GACGAACGCUGGCGGCGUGCUUAACACAUGCAAGUCGAACGAAGAGCGAUGGAAGCUUGCUUCUAUCAAUCUUAGUGGCGAACGGGUGAGUAACGCGUAAUCAACCUGCCCUUCAGAGGGGGACAACAGUUGGAAACGACUGCUAAUACCGCAUACGAUCUAACCUCGGCAUCGAGGAUAGAUGAAAGGUGGCCCCUACAUGUAAGCUAUCACUGAAGGAGGGGAUUGCGUCUGAUUAGCUAGUUGGAGGGGUAACGGCCCACCAAGGCGAUGAUCAGUAGCCGGUCUGAGAGGAUGAACGGCCACAUUGGGACUGAGACACGGCCCAGACUCCUACGGGAGGCAGCAGUGGGGAAUCUUCCGCAAUGGACGAAAGUCUGACGGAGCAACGCCGCGUGAGUGAUGACGGCCUUCGGGUUGUAAAGCUCUGUUAAUCGGGACGAAAGGCCUUCUUGCGAAUAGUGAGAAGGAUUGACGGUACCGGAAUAGAAAGCCACGGCUAACUACGUG
rnacentral:rRNA from 1 species